AUUGAACGCUGGCGGCAGGCCUAACACAUGCAAGUCGAGCGGAGCGGCGGACGGGCGGGUAAUUCCUAGGUAUCUGCCUUGUCGUGUGGGAUAACGUCCGUAAACGGGCGCUAAUACCGCAUACUAUCAGAUGAGCCUAGGUCGGUUUAGCUAGUUGGUGGGGUAAAGGCCUACCAAGGCGACGAUCCGUAACUGGUCUGAUAGGAUGAUCAGUCACACUGGAACUGAGACACGGCCCAGACUCCUACGGGAGGCAGCAGUGGGGAAUAUUGGACAAUGGGCGAAAGCCUGAUCCAGCCAUGCCGCGUGUGUGAAGAAGGUCUUCGGAUUUUAAAGCACUUUAAGUUGGGAGGCGUUACCAACAGAAUAAGCACCGGCUAACUUCGUGCCAGCAGCCGCGGUAAUAC
rnacentral:rRNA from 1 species